UGGAAUCUCGCUUUGCUCUGAAAACACCCCAGAGGUAGUGCUUACCCUGGAAUCCUGCCAAUUGAUUUUCUCAAACAGCUUAACAAUGAACCUUGGAUAACGAAGGUAAUGCAAACCUAGAAUACAUACUCAUCUUUAAUCAAAUACUCCUACUCCCACAAUUCUAGUUUAUAUUAUCUCAUUUGAUUUGGCACGGUUAUAUUAUACUGAAAGUGGGUCCAAACUUCCAGCUAAAAGUAUUUUUAGGAGAAUUAACAAUUUUUAAAUUUAAGAGAAAUUGUCCAUAAAGCAUUAACCCAGUGGCAAUAUGACAAGGCAUACAACCUUCACCUUUGAUAAGCAGGAAUGAUGAUUGGUUAAUUUGUUGGCUUAAUGUAAGGAUAUAUAAUAAGAAGCAACUUUUUUCUAAAGAAACUGACUUUCAUUCAAUAGGAUUGAAUGUGCUUGGGCUGCCCUGUGCUCAGUCUGCCCUGUGCUUGGGCUUAAAAAAUAUUCAAGUCUCCCCCUUUUCUAGCCCACACGAAGACACUGUCUCUCUGCCUAAACAUUUUUUGGGAAUCAUACCUUCUGGAACUCCAAUCUAUCCACUGACCACCAAUCCUCAACUUCCCAUUACCAAUCUCCUAUCAAUCAAAGACAAGUCUCCAAGUUUUCUUUUGUUUUUUAAAACUUUUACUAGAAUAUAAAGAAAACAUUGAGAACUAGAGAUGGUCCCACUGUUAGAAAGUUAUAGAGUAUCGUAUUGGGGAGUUCGGGACAAACCAAAAUAGAAAGUACGUGUAUAAUAACUCACUCCAGUAUAGCAGGGGUAGUUCCGUAGAAGUGAAAACCAAAAGCUCGGCAUUAGUUACUAUUGCUCGAAGAGCAAGUUCGUUACUGAUCAUCUUCUCCACCAACUGAUCAAACACCUUUUCCCAUCUAUAGCAAGAAAAAUAGGAGGAGAAUAAACCAAAACUUGAUCAAAAUAACCGGUGAAUGGUGAAAAUAUACAAGUAAUUACCUUAUGUCCGAUGGGAAAAAAUACAAUGCAAUGUUAUCAUCAGUCGGCUCUGAUAUAGUGAAACUCUUAGGCCAUAAGUCAGAUUUUGGAAGCAUUUCCAGUUGAAGCGAAGCUGGAAGCAAACUUGCUUCUUCAAAAACCUUUUGGCAUGCUUUAACUGAAAGGUGAGCUUGUCCAUAAAAUGUCUCAUACUCUUUGUUCCAGAUGUUAAAACUACCCCUGUCAGAUCACAAUAAGAAUAAAUUUUCAUUUGCACAAUAAUAGAUCCAUCGGUUAGAUUAUCUCCCGAGUUAAAAUUCAUGACAUAUCUCCUGACCUCCAAAUGAAAUCAAUAAGAGGUUGUGCUCGGUCUUGGCCACCAUGUUUGGGUUCAUUUGGCUGUUCACCUUUUGAAAAUUGAGAAGGAUCUCCAUUAACAACAGUUCUAGAUUGAGGUGUUAAUCUUCUAUCAUUUCCAAUCGUCGAUUCCUCUUCAUGAUGAUUGCUACGGGACGACAUACUCAUUGUCUUUUCAAUCAUGCCAGAAGAAUCAUCCUGUGUGCCAGGCUGAACAUCUCCCUCACAAGGUUCCUUCAAAUGACGAGCUUGCAAUUCUUCCCUUGCCAGUGGGCCGGUAACUUCUUCCUUUGAUCGCUUAGCUGGCAAUGGAGAAACAUUAGCUGAUUGAGUUCGUUCAUUGCACUGAAUGCUUAUCUGUGACUCGUGGGAUUGCUCAGAAGAGCAACGUACUAGUCUUUGCUCAUAUUUCUCAUCUCUUAAUGAAGCAGGAUUAGAUCUCUUCUUGCUCGUCUUCACAACUGGACUAUCACCCGCUAUCCGACAAUUCUCUACCAAAUCAAUCCCAGCACCUGGCUGAUGAAGUUGCUGAUCCCUACCUUGACAACUCUUUAAUUUUGUCUCAGGAACAUCCACUUUUGCUUUAGAAGUUGCUUUACAAUGUCUUGAACUAGUGCAAUCCCCAUUUUCUACUGAGAUGGCAUCAGAUUUCUUGAUGUUUAGUCCGUCUGGCUCCUUCACUUCACAGUCAUCACAGACCCAGUUGACAAAUUCCUUGAAGGUGACUUUUUUAAGGCAGUAGCUGAAAAAUAAGCAAGAUCAACAAACCAUAUAACGAAACAAAAAAGGAUAACCUGUAACCCAUCUUGGUAUUUAACCUUUAACAGCAACUAAUAAGUCAUGCCACAGAAAUUAUUAUUUAAAAGAAAAGAAAAUUGUUAGUUCAAAGACCUAAAGAAAAGAGAAAAAUCAUGAGAAACUAAGAGAAUGAAAGAGACAUUAAUGAAGGCUUAAUAAUGUGAUUAGUACAAUGCACACAUUUCUGUAUGAUAUUUGUGUAAUGUCAAAUAAUAUCCAAAUUAAGAACUUAAGUAUGCGAAACGUUAAAAUUCUAGCACACUCGAAGUCAACAACAACAACAACCACCUAGUACAAUCCCACGUGUGGAGUCUGGGGAGGGUAGUGUGUACGCAGACCCUACCCCUGCCCCGGAGGGUAGAGAGGCUGUUUCCGAAAGACCCUCGGCACAAGGAGAUGAAAAGGUGGCAACAAUAACAACCACAUAUGUCAAGAAGACAGUGCGAGCAACCUAAGAAUCAGAAAAAUAAAUGGAAAAAGCAAUAUCAAUAAUCAGAAUAAUGGAAAGGUACUAGGCAAUCGGAGCAGAAAACAAUGCAAACACAACAAGUACCACUAACAAUCUAAAGACACUACAAACUAGCCUAACACCCUCAACAGGGAAGAAAGACGCUCAACUACCUACUAACCUACAAACCUAAUGCUCGCCCUCCAAGCCUUCCUAUCUAAGGUCAUGUCUUAGGUGAGCUGGAGUCGCGCCAUGUCCUGCCUAAUCACCUCUCCCCAAUAUUUCUUAGGCCUCCCUCUACCUCUUCUCACAAGUGACAAAGCCAACCACUUGCACCUCCUAACCGGGGCGUCAAGGCUUCUCCUCCCCAAACCAUCUAAGCCUCGCUUCCCGCAUUUGUCAUCUGUGCGCCACCCCCACCUUUGCUAGAAUAUCCUCAUUCCUAAUCUUAUCCAAUCUAGCAUGCCCGCACAUCCACCUCAACAUCCUCAUUUCUAUUACUUCCAUCUUCUGGAUAUGCGAGUUCUUGACUGGCCAACAUUCUGCCCCAUACAACAUAGCCGGUCUAAUCACUGCUCUAUAAAACUUGUCUUUAAGUUCUGGUGGCACCUUUUUGUCACACAAGACUCCAGAUGCUAACCUCCAUUUCAUCCAUCCCGCCCCUAUACGGUGUGUGAUAUCCUCGCCAAUCUCCCCGUUCCCCCGGAUAAUAGACACAAAAUACUUAAAACUUCCUUUCCUGGGGAUGACUUGUGAAUCAAGCCUUACAUCACUGUCCGCUUCCCCAGUUACAUCACUGAACUUGCACUCCAAGUAUUCUGUCUUAGUCCUGCUCAACUUGAAACCUUUAAACUUCAGGGUCUGUCUCCAAACCUCCAGCCUCUCGCCGACACCGCCUCGCGUCUCAUCAAUCAGGACUAUAUCAUCAGUAAAUAACAUACACCAUGGCGCCUCUCCCUGAAUAUGGUGCAUUAGCGCGUCCAUCGCCAAGGCAAAUAGGAAAGGACUGAGCGUUGAUCCUUGGUACAACCCCAUAACUACCGGAAAAUGCUCUGAGUCACCUCCCAUUGUCCUAACUCGAAGUCAAAGCAGGCAAAUUAUUGGAUUUGCUUAUUUUGAGAAUGUAGAAACAUUUCGUUGGAAAUCUACAAAAUGCUACCAGAAAAGUUGUGGUUGCUGGAAUCUCGCCAAGAUAGCGGAUGUGAAAACGAUUACCAGAAAAGGUCACGUCAUUACCUGGACGAUCAUCAAAAGAGAAGCGGCGCCAUCAUAACAAUCACAGGAAAGAAGAGCGAACGCUGAAACGGUCAUCGAAAAGAGAUACGCACCUCUACAACAAUCACUGGAAAUAUGCACGAUAUAGUUGGAAUGAUCGUCAAAAUUAAGUGCAGCAUUACCAAAACAGCUAUAAGAAAGAGGAAAGGCACUGCUGUAAAAUGACUUAGUGCUAUUUGAGCAGCCGCAUGAAAAAAGUUGUGAUGCUGCCAGAGAAGUGUGGUGCCGCCUGAUUGGUCACCGGAAAGAGACAUGGUAACCAAGGUGGUCACUGCAAAGAAGGAAGGAGGAAAAACUUUUAACCGGUCAAAUGACACAAGGCCAUCAGCUGGUAGGGAGAAGCUACUUGAUUCUCUACCAAGAUCGUAGAGGCUCUAAUAACUAUAGUAUCAGACGCAUUAUACAUAUGAUAUUGGUCCAAUGUGAAUUAAUAAGCAACAUAAGAACCCAACUCUUCUACCACUAUAACUCAAACAUUCUAACAGAAAACAGAACCCUGGAGGAACAGGAAGUUGCUUUCUGAUCAAAGAACCAACAUUUUGUACAACAUUCAAACAAUGAAUAGCUCAAAAAAAUUGAAUUGCCCAUUAUAAGCUUCCUUUUCAAGGUUAAUUUAAGUGUUGAAGGCAAAGGGUUGUAGCCUUGUAGGUCCAUCAAAUUUCAAAGAACUUUUAGUUUGCAAAGAUCCAUUUUAAUAAGACAAUGAUUUAAUGAAUAAAUGGCAUUGCAACAUACAAAAGUAUGGUUUUACAACAAAACCGAAACUUCAUCCAUCUAUAUAGCUUUUUUUGAUAAGUAACUUCAUUCACCUAUACAAUGUAGAAUAUCAUUUCAAAGCAAAAGAUAUAAAUGAAAUAAAAAGGAGCUCUUGACUCUCCACAAUGGACUCUGUAGGAGCAACUCUCAAAAGCCCUUCAUAUUGACCAUCUUUUGUAUUUUCUAACUUGUUGACACUUCCGAUACGCACCAGGAACUCCCAAACUAUGUUACUUAAACAUACAAUAAUCAAGGAUCAUAGAUAUGUGGCAAAACUACAAUGUAUUAAUACAUGGUCUACAUCCUCCCCGUCUUUCCUACACCAGCAGCACCAAUUGACUAGCAUUUGUCUUCUCUCUCUUAGGUCAUCUGUCGCUAAGAUGGCAAUCAAAACUGCAUAAUGCAUAAGAAAAUCAUUUUGUUUGGUCCCUUGUCCUCCAAAAUGUGAUUUCACGUGGGCUUUGAAUCAACCACUAUUAUAAAAAAGAUCACAAAACAACUGCACUGAGAACUUUUUGAAAGUUCUUUACCAAUGAUCUUCCCCAAAUCACUGUCUCUUUUACUAAAUAAUACUCCCUCUGUUCCAACUUGUGGGCACAUUUGACUAGAUACAAAGUAAAGAAAUAAAGGAAAACUUUUGAUAUAGAAUAAAUAUGAACAAAAUACCAAAAGUAUUCUUGUACCAAAUAAUUUGUUUUGGUAUCCUCUGGACCCUACAACAAGUCAUGACAUAGCAGAAUGGGAAUGUAAAAUUACAGUAACUUCUAAAUAUAGAAAGGUACAAAUCUUUUAGGAAUGGACAAAAAACAAACAGAGCAAAGCAAAUUUGAAUGGAGGAAGUACUACAGUAAAUUUUCUAUAAAAAGUUGUUAAUAUCAUUUCCACUUCCAAUAAUAUAUAGAUCUUCUGAAAGAUAUAUUCAUCGACAUUUGGUUUCCCACUCUUUAAGGAGCUCGACUACUGGAGGGAGAUGCAUCAAAGGGGGUUCUAGUGGAUGGUCUAUUUGGAGAUGGGUCAUCUCAGAGCUUCUUGAAAGGAACUUGUUUUUUGGUACUUGCUCUUUUUCUUUCUUGGAAUACCUAUAUAAUUGUUGCUGGUAUGAGCGAUUUCUCCACUUAGUAUAAACACUAAAUUGGGGUAUUUCCCUUUCAAACAUUAGAAUUUAUUACCUCAUCAAAAAAGUUUAGGAGCUCUGUUAUUGUUACCACUUUGAUAGUUGAGAGAGUUUGUAUGUUCCUUUCCUAUUACUUUUCAGUUUUCCUUUCACACUCAGGUUGUAUAUCUCCUGAAUUAUUCAGAUGAAACUUCUGCUGCUGUGAAUUGAUUAAUUGAAUUUUCUGG
rnacentral:lncRNA from 1 species